CCCUUAGAUGUUCUGGGCUGCACGCGCGCUACACUGAUGCACUCAACGAGUUUACAACCUUAUCCGGAAGGAUUGGGUAAUCUUUUGAACGUGCAUCGUGAUGGGGAUAGAUUAUUGCAAUUAUUAAUCUUCAACGAGGAAUUCCUAGUAAGCGCAAGUCAUCAGCUUGCGCUGAUUACGUCCCUGCCCUUUGUACACACCGCCCGUCGCACCUACCGAUUGAAUGACCCGGUGAAAUCUUCGGAUCGUCGUAUUGCCCGAUUCAUUUCGGGCGAUGUGACGCAAAGUUGAUUAAACCUUGCCAUUUAGAGGAAGGUGAAGUCGUAACA
rnacentral:rRNA from 1 species